rnacentral:rRNA from 1 species
GAUGAACGCUGGCGGCGUGCCUAAUACAUGCAAGUCGAGCGAACGGACGAGAAGCUUGCUUCUCUGAUGUUAGCGGCGGACGGGUGAGUAACACGCGGAUAACCUACCUAUAAGACUGGGAUAACUUCGGGAAACCGGAGCUAAUACCGGAUAAUAUUUUGAACCGCAUGGUUCAAAAGUGAAAGACGGUCUUGCUGUCACUUAUAGAUGGAUCCGCGCUGCAUUAGCUAGUUGGUAAGGUAACGGCUUACCAAGGCAACGAUGCAUAGCCGACCUGAGAGGGUGAUCGGCCACACUGGAACGGAGACACGGUCCAGACUCCUACGGGAGGCAGCAGUAGGGAAUCUUCCGCAAUGGGCGAAAGCCUGACGGAGCAACGCCGCGUGAGUGAUGAAGGUCUUCGGAUCGUAAAACUCUGUUAUUAGGGAAGAACAUAUGUGUAAGUAACUGUGCACAUCUUGACGGUACCUAAUCAGAAAGCCACGGCUAACUACGUG